UGUUUGAGCUGCUGGCGCCCCGGAGAACAAGUCACCAGCAGCCAAGAGCUGUUGGUGACCCAGAAAGGAAAUAGAACCGUCGGUGGUCUAAUCUGUCUAAUGUCCUUCACCAGAUAGCCUCGAAUCCAACCCAAGCACUAGGCAACAGUGGCGCUUCUAUGGCUUUCUGACUGGCUACCUAACCUCCAUCUCUGGGCACCGCUGUGGAGUCUUCCAGAAUCUCACAAUCCAGGAGGUUGAAGAGGCCUCCAGAAGCCCCGACGAGUCUGCUUAUGUCAUUAACAUUACCACUCACAAAACAAACAGAGCCUUUGGGGCGGCUCAGCUGUCCCUAAACAGGGAGGAAUACAGCUGGUUCCGCAGAUUUUUGGCGCUGCGGGCUGGUCUCCCCGGAGGGAGCCAGGCUACCUAUUUCUUUUUCACUUCCAGAGCCAGUCCUUGUCGGACCCUGAACAAGUACUUUCAGUCUGCUUGGCUCAGUAUGGGCCUUCCAGGCAAACCCACCUUUACUGACGUACGCACUGCGAUCGCGACUCAUGUGAGUAGGCAUUGUGACGCCCCUGUAACUACCAGCGGCGGCUUCUAUCCUAAUCAAGCUUCUGUCUCUCUCCGACGCAGGCAAAGAAUGCACACUCUUCAGAGGAUCGCCGCAAGGUGGCGCAAUUCAUGUGCCAUGACACUUCAACCUCAGAUAAGAGGAUGGGGAGGCAGCGGGCACUGAAAGCCCCCCGCGGAAAGGGCGCAAGAGGACAGAGACUUCCGUCUCUCCCCUGGUAAAAAUCACAUUCUCUUUGGCGUGGACAGCAGAACGUAUGGCAUUGGCUAACUUCCCUUUAUGUGUCUCUUUUCCAGGAGGGAACCAGCAGGAGGACGCUGCCAUGGCGCCCUGCCAAAGGGAAAAGCCAGGGCGCUCGCCCGCU